rnacentral:rRNA from 1 species
UACGUAGGGCGCAAGCGUUAUCCGGAAUUAUUGGGCGUAAAGAGCUCGUAGGCGGUUUGUCGCGUCGGCCGUGAAAUCUCCACGCUUAACGUGGAGCGUGCGGUCGAUACGGGCAGACUUGAGUUCGGUAGGGGGACCUGGAACUUCCGGUGGAGCGGUGAAAUGCGUUGAGAUCGGAAGGAACGCCCGUGGCGAAAGCGAGGUCCUGGACGCCUACUGACGCUGAGACGCGAAAGCCAGGGGAGCGAACGGG